GAUAAACGCUGGCGGCGUGCCUAACACAUGCAAGUCGAACGCCCUGGAGCAAUUCAGGGAGUGGCGGACGGGUGAGGAACACGUGGGUUAGUCUGCCUUGAGGUGAGGAAUACCGGCGAGAAAUCGCCGACAAUACCGCAUACGUUCGUAAGAACAAAGUCGCAAGACGCCACAAGAUGAGCCUGCGUCCGAUUAGCUAGUUGGUGGGAAAGCCGUACCAAGGCAGCGAUCGGAGCUGGUCUGAGAGGACGAUCAGCCACACUGGGAC
rnacentral:rRNA from 1 species